rnacentral:rRNA from 1 species
AGUGAACGCUGGCGGUAGGCCUAACACAUGCAAGUCGAACGGCAGCACAGUAAGAGCUUGCUCUUACGGGUGGCGAGUGGCGGACGGGUGAGGAAUACAUCGGAAUCUACUUUUUCGUGGGGGAUAACGUAGGGAAACUUACGCUAAUACCGCAUACGACCUCCGGGUGAAAGCAGGGGACCUUCGGACCUUGCGCGAUUGAAUGAGCCGAUGUCGGAUUAGCUAGUUGGCGGGGUAAAGGCCCACCAAGGCGACGAUCCGUAGCUGGUCUGAGAGGAUGAUCAGCCACACUGGAACUGAGACACGGUCCAGACUCCUACGGGAGGCAGCAGUGGGGAAUAUUGGACAAUGGGCGCAAGCCUGAUCCAGCCAUACCGCGUGGGUGAAGAAGGCCUUCGGGUUGUAAAGCCCUUUUGUUGGGAAAGAAAAGCAGCAGGUUAAUACCCCGCUGUUCUGACGGUACCCAAAGAAUAAGCACCGGCUAACUUCGUG